ensembl:lncRNA
CUGAUCUUGAUAACUCUGCAUUAACACUGUGCAGGACAGUGAUGGACCAACACGCAUGAUCGGGCAGCAAAAGGGCGUGGCCGAGACAGGAGGAGCAAGUGAGGUCAGAAGGCACCUCAGAAUGGACAAAAAUACAGGAGAAGAAGAUGCAGGUUUCACCUACGGUGAGCAUGGACAUUGGAGAAAGGACUGCCCCAAUUGGGGUCAGAACCAGGAUGGACAGAACUUCGAGCAGCAGCAGCAGCAAUGGUCGCAAACAGACUGAAAAAGAGGAGGGCAGGACCCCAGGGCAUGCUUCAGGCCAUGGUUUACCCAAGACACCAGAACAGGAAAGUGAUGAACACACACACACACACACAUCUACAUACACUGAUGAAGAGAAACACACACAUGAACAGAUGUGCACUCGUUGAUUGAGUGAAAAAUGACACACACAUUGAAAUGCUGAUUCACUGAGAAGUGAUCCACACACACACAUGCACACGUUUGUGCAACGAAGAGUGAUGCGCACACACACACACACACGCUGAUGCAAUGAAGAAUGCUUUGCUAACAAAUGCUUAUGCUGAUAUGCAAAAUGCUGCACACAAAUAUCCCAAUACAUAAUUUUUAUGAGGGCAUUUAUGUAGAUUUAAGGAAUAAGGUCUGAAACAGUUUGGUUAUGAAAACAAUGUCUGUGCGUGAUGUCUGUUUAUGGCUCAAGGCCUUGACUGAAUUCUUUGCUGUGCUUCAUACAGCCUGGUGAGGAACAGUGGCACAGAGUGAAAAUGAUGAAUUAAUAGUGUAAGUUUUAGGUCGGAGUACAGCAUUUUCUGUGAUUGAGAUUUAAUUCAAGGAGGAACAAAGGUGCUACGGUACCUGAGGUUCUCAUUCCCACACAAUAUUGUCCCGGCAGGAAGCAAAACGUUCCUGUGAAUUUCUGGUUGAUAUUUUGGUUUUGCUUAGCGCUAGCUUGAUUUUAUCAGUGAGCUUUGGCUUGUGUUCUUUCUCUAACUAAGAGAGAGAUGAUUUUAUGCUUGGACAUGUCUGCAACGGGCCCUAGUUUGCGUUAUUUUUAUUAGUAUUUUGUUGGUUACGUCUGUGUUUGUUUUUGUUACAGUGCACUGAGAUAAGAAAAUCGGAGAGGUGUGAUCCACUGGUGGUGAUAUUUUGUGAGUUCAUGAUUUAACAAUCAGCUCUUUAAACUAGGCCUGAAAGAUUGAGAUCUAAAGCGCUGUAAAAUAUUAUUACUGUAAACAGUUGCAAAGUGUGCUUCUCCAUGAUUGUAAUUGGCUUGGGAGAAAUUCACUUAUAGGGGACACUGAUCACGCGGUAGGUCCUGAGUCUAAAAGGAUUGCAGCGAGUCAAUCCAGUCCAAAAAACAAGGAAUUG